rnacentral:rRNA from 1 species
UUUGAUCAUUAUUUAAGGUAACGCCUGCCCAGUGACUUUUCAGUUCAACGGCCGCGGUACUCUGACCGUGCAAAGGUAGCGUAAUCAUUUGUCUUUUAAAUAAAGACUAGUAUGAAUGGCAUCACGAGAACUAAUCUGUCUCCCUCCCCCAAUCAGUGAAACUGAUCUCCCCGUGCAGAAGCGGGGAUAACAUCAUAAGACGAGAAGACCCUGUGGAGCUUCAAAUCAAAGACCAACUGCUUCUAAUUCCCCAACAAAGAAACAUUAAUGCGGACACCUGGUUCAGGAUUUUUAGCUGGGGCAGCUGUGGAGAAAAAAAAAUCCUCCACGAAGAAUUAUGCCAAGGGCUACCGCCCUAAGCAUUAAUAGAUUAACUUAAUUGACCCUUUUUGAUCAACGAACCAAGUUACCCCAGGGAUAACAGCGCAAUCCACUUUCAGAGUCCAUAUCGACAAGUGGGCUUACGACCUCGAUGUUGGAUCAGGGCACCCAAGUGGUGCAGCCGCUACUAAAGGUUCGUUUGUUCAACGAUUAAAGCCCUACGUGAUC